UCGAUAAUGAAUGAGUGAUCAUGUCUUUUAUAUACUAUUGGUGAUUUUUACAUUUUCCAAAUGAGAUUGUAUAAGUCGCGCGUAGUCACGAAAAGAACAUGGUACUCACGAGCAAGCUCACGUGUAAGGCAGCAGUUGAACAAGUGUAUUGUCUCCUUAUCCACAUAUCCAUACGAAUUUGAACAUUUAUGAAGACAUACACACACAAGACUUGCGUAUGUAAAGAAAACAUGCACAUAAAGCCCCCAUACCUCUUUCUUUAUUUAUUUUCUCGUAAAUUGUUAGCCUCUCCCG